rnacentral:rRNA from 1 species
GGACGGGACAUGCUUUGUAGCAAUACAAAGUAUGUUCAGUGGCGUAAGGGUGCGUAACACGUGGGCAAUCUGCCGAGAAGUGGGGGAUAGCUCGCCGAAAGGCGAAUUAAUACCGCAUGUGACUAGAGAAGACAUCUUCUCGACGUCAAAGUCGGGAAUAGCAAUAUUCCUGACGCUUCUUGAUGAGCCCGCGGCCUAUCAGCUAGUUGGUGAGGUAACGGCUCACCAAGGCGAUGACGGGUAGCUGGUCUGAGAGGACGACCAGCCACACUGGAACUGAGACACGGUCCAGACACCUACGGGUGGCAGCAGUCGAGAAUUUUUCUCAAUGGGGGAAACCCUGAAGGAGCGACGCCGCGUGGAGGAUGAAGGUCUUCGGAUUGUAAACUCCUGUCAUUAGGGAACAAUUGUCGCCGAUUAACUGUCGGCGGCUUGAUAGUACCUGAAGAGGAAGAGACGGCUAACUCUGUGCCAGCAGCCGCGGUAAUACAGAGGUCUCAAGCGUUGUUCGGAUUCAUUGGGCGUAAAGGGUGCGUAGGUGGUGGGGUAAGUCGGAUGUGAAAUCCCGGGGCUCAACCCCGGAACUGCAUUCGAUACUGCCUUGCUCGAGUACUGGAGAGGAGACUGGAAUUUACGGUGUAGCAGUGAAAAUGCGUAGAUAUCGUAAGGAAGACCAGUGGCGAAGGCGAGUCUCUGGACAGUUACUGACACUGAGGCACGAAGGCCAGGGGAGCAAACGGGAUUAGAUACCCGGGUAGUCCUGGCAGUAAACGGUGCGCGUUUGGUGUGGGAGGAUUCGACCCCUUCGUGGCCGGACUAAGGC